rnacentral:rRNA from 1 species
GAUGAACGCUGGCGGCGUGCUUAACACAUGCAAGUCGAACGGAAAGGCCCAAGCUUGCUUGGGUACUCGAGUGGCGAACGGGUGAGUAACACGUGGGUGAUCUGCCCUGCACUUCGGGAUAAGCCUGGGAAACUGGGUCUAAUACCGGAUAGGACCACUUCUUGGAUGUUGUGGUGGAAAGUUUUCUCGGUGUGGGAUGAGCUCGCGGCCUAUCAGCUUGUUGGUGGGGUAAUGGCCUACCAAGGCGUCGACGGGUAGCCGGCCUGAGAGGGUGUACGGCCACAUUGGGACUGAGAUACGGCCCAGACUCCGGCGGGAGGCAGCAGUGGGGAAUAUUGCACAAUGGGCGCAAGCCUGAUGCAGCGACGCCGCGUGGGGGAUGACGGCCUUCGGGUUGUAAACUCCUUUCGCUAGGGACGAAGCGUUUUUGUGACGGUACCUGGAGAAGAAGCACCGGCUAACUACGUG